GGGUGGUGGUGGGGUGGGGGAAAGAGAGAUGCUGCCUGACCUGCUGCUGCGUGUUUCCCAGCCACUUCGGUGAUCGUUGCAGAUUUCCAGCACAUCUGCGGACAACACGUCGCGAGUGGAGUGGGACAAAGACACUGAAUGAGGAGAAAGUCUGCGAAAUGCUGGAGAAACCCUUCAAUUAGGUCUUAAUUGGGAGCCAGUUUGUCACAUUUCCUGAAAAGAAAUAAGAAUGACACCAGGAACGAGGGGAUCCGCAAUUGUGCGGAGAGACGAGAGAGGCUGCGAUUGUUCUCCUCAGAGCAGAGAACGUUACGGGGAGAUUUAAUAGAGGUGUUCGAAAUGAUGAGGGGUUUUGAUAAGAGUA